CAGGGGAGCUUGCUCCCCGGGUGACGAGUGGCGGACGGGUGAGUAAUGUCUGGGGAUCUGCCCGAUGGAGGGGGAUAACUACUGGAAACGGUAGCUAAUACCGCAUAACCUCGAAAGAGCAAAGUGGGGGACCUUCGGGCCUCACACCAUCGGAUGAACCCAGAUGGGAUUAGCUAGUAGGUGGGGUAACGGCUCACCUAGGCGACGAUCCCUAGCUGGUCUGAGAGGAUGACCAGCCACACUGGAACUGAGACACGGUCCAGACUCCUACAGGAGGCAGCAGUGGGGAAUAUUGCACAAUGGGCGCAAGCCUGAUGCAGCCAUGCCGCGUGUAUGAAGAAGGCCUUCGGGUUGUAAGGUACUUUCAGCGGGGAGGAAGGGAUGAAGGUUAAUAACCUUCGUCAUUGACGUUACCCGCAGAAGAAGCACCGGCUAACUCCGUGCCAGCAGCCGCGGUAAUACGGAGGGUGCAAGCGUUAAUCGGAAUUACUGGGCGUAAAGCGCACGCAGGCGGUUUGUUAAGUCAGAUGUGAAAUCCCCGGGCUCAACCUGGGAACUGCAUUUGAAACUGGCAAGCUUGAGUCUCGUAGAGGGGGGUAGAAUUCCACGUG
rnacentral:rRNA from 1 species